CCUACGGGAGUCAGCAGUAGGGAAUAUUGCUCAAUGGGGGAAACCCUGAAGCAGCACCGCCGCGUGGAGGAUGAAGGUUUUCGGAUUGUAAACUCCUUUUGUUAGAGAAGAUAAUGACGGUAUCUAACGAAUAAGCACCGGCUAACUCCGUGCCAGCAGCCGCGGUAAUACGGAGGGUGCAAGCGUUACUCGGAACCACUGGGCGUAAAGAGCGCGUAGGCGGGAUAGCAAGUCAGAUGUGAAAUCCUAGGGCUUAACCAUAGAACUGCAUUUGAAACUGUUAUUCUAGAGUAUGGGAGAGGUAGGUGGAAUUCUUGGUGUAGGGGUAAAAUCCGUAGAGAUCAAGAGGAAUACUCAUUGCGAAGGCGACCUGCUAGAACAUAACUGACGCUGAUGCGCGAAAGCGUGGGGAGCAAACAGGAUUAGAUACCCCUGUAGUC
rnacentral:rRNA from 1 species